rnacentral:rRNA from 1 species
GACGAACGCUGGCGGCGUGCUUAACACAUGCAAGUCGAACGGAAAGGCCCUGCUUUUGUUGGUUGCUCGAGUGGCGAACGGGUGUGUAACACGUGAGUAACCUGUCCUUGACUUUGUGAUAACUUCAGGAAACUGGGGCUAAUACCGGAUAUGAUCUCCUGCUGCAUGUUGGGGGUUGGAAAGUUUCGGCGGUUGGGGAUGGACUCGCGGCUUAUCAGCUUGUUGGUGGGGUAGUGGCUUACCAAGGCUUUGACGGGUAGCCGGCCUGAGAGGGUGACCGGCCACAUUGGGACUGAGAGACGGCCCAGAAUCCUACGGGAGGCAGCAGUGGGGAAUAUGGCACAAUGGGCGGAAGCCUGAUGCAGCAACGCCGCGUGCGGGAUGACGGCCUUCGGGUUGUAAACCGCUUUCGACUGUGACGAAGAGUGAGUGACGGUAAUGGGUAAAGAAGCACCGGCUAACUACGUG